rnacentral:piRNA from 1 species
AGAGAAUGGCGUGUAGCUGACCCAGACUC